rnacentral:tRNA from 1 species
GCCGGGAUAGCUCAGUCUGGUAGAGCAGAGGACUGAAAAUC